UACGAAGGGGGCUAGCGUUGCUCGGAAUCACUGGGCUUAAAGGGCGCGUAGGCGGUUUGCCAAGUCAGGGGUGAAAUCCUGCAGCUCAACUGUAGAAGUGCCUUUGAUACUGGCGAACUCGAGGGAGGUAGGGGUGCGUGGAACUUCUGGUGGAGCGGUGAAAUGCGUUGAUAUCAGAAGGAACGCCGGUGGCGAAAGCGACGCACUGGACCUUUUCUAACGCUGAGGCGCGAAAGCUAGGGGAGCAAACGGG
rnacentral:rRNA from 1 species